GUGAGCAAUGCCAUGCUUUGUGGAGCUGCCACAUACAGUGCUUCUCUCACUGACCACCAAUGAAAGAGGUGCCCCUUCCAGAAGUGUGGUGGGGGCUGGAUAAAUGGACUCAGGGGGCUGCAUGUAGCCCAUGAGCUGUAGUUUGGGGACCCCUGCCCUAGAGGUCCCUUGGUCCUCCUCUCCUUCAUCUACUGAAAACAGGAAGAGAUGUAGUUAACUUCAUCAGUUUAAGGAAGAGACAACUUCCAAGUAUCUUUGAACAGUGUAAGGCCCUCCAUAGCUGCAGAAUCCCCUCUUCCUGAGAUAACAGAACUCAUUGUUACAGUGGAGAAAUUACCAGCUUCUUUAUGAUCUCCCGGAAUCAGCACAGGCAAUAAUAAGAACAUAUGCAUUUUUAAAAUUUAAUUUAAAAAAUUACUUUCAGUUCCAAAUUCUCUCCAUGGAUCCCUCCAUCCCCUCUCCCACUCAUUGAUGUGGCAAAAAUAUAAUGCUAACUCUACAAAUAAAGUCAGAGAAUAUAGAA